AGCAGUAGCCGCGGUAAUACAGAGGGUGCGAGCGUUAAUCGGAUUUACUGGGCGUAAAGCGUGCGUAGGCGGCUUUUUAAGUCGGAUGUGAAAUCCCUGAGCUUAACUUAGGAAUUGCAUUCGAUACUGGGAAGCUAGAGUAUGGGAGAGGAUGGUAGAAUUCCAGGUGUAGCGGUGAAAUGCGUAGAGAUCUGGAGGAAUACCGAUGGCGAAGGCAGCCAUCUGGCCUAAUACUGACGCUGAGGUACGAAAGCAUGGGGAGCAAACAGGAUUAGAUACCCGAGUAGUCCCUGUCUCUUAUAA
rnacentral:rRNA from 1 species